rnacentral:rRNA from 1 species
UACGUAGGGGGCGAGCGUUGUCCGGAAUUAUUGGGCGUAAAGAGCGUGUAGGCGGUUCGGUAAGUCUGCCGUGAAAACCUGGGGCUCAACCCCGGGCGUGCGGUGGAUACUGCCGGGCUAGAGGGUGGUAGAGGCGAGUGGAAUUCCCGGUGUAGCGGUGAAAUGCGUAGAUAUCAGGAGGAACACCAAUGGCGAAGGCAGCUCGCUGGGACGGUACUGACGCUGAGACGCGAAAGCGUGGGGAGCAAACAGG